UCAAAGACGAGACGUCACCAUUUUGGUGUCCGCAUCAAAUAUAAUUUACAAAAGUGAUUUUACAUACAAAAAAAACAUAUAAAAUGCAAGUAAAAUGUCUACUUUUAUGUUUCAAAUAACUUUUGUGAAAAUACAAUGACCAAAUAUGAGUUUAAUAAUGCUCCAAAGUAUAAAAUCGUCAUUCGGCGUAAUGGUCCGGACUAUGAUUUUACUAAUACAUUUUUAAAUAAACGUAUAAAAUACCAUGUUAAAAAAAAUAUUUGCUUCCUUGGCAUGUUCACAUAAGUGUUGGCUGUUUUAUAUUAAUAGGACUAUGUGUUAUUUUUUUCGUUAAAUAUUGAAACAACUAGGGGACUUUUGUCCCGAAUAUGCAGUUUGUCAGAGGUCAUUCAGUGUAACGGGAUCAGGAAACCAUUUUGAAAUUAAAUAAACAAACAAUAGUCAUCAAGCAGUCUGUGACAUCAUCAAAAGACCCCCUGAAGACCAUGUGGUGAUUCAGCAAGAUGCCCACAAACAAAAAGUUUCUAGGCACUGGCAGAAAGUUAAUGCAGACCCAGUAGCUAGGGCAAUGCAUUUAGCAAGGAGACGAGAAAGCAACCAGAGAAGAAAGCAAGCUGCCUUGGCUGCAAAUCCUGAUCACCCGUCAAUCAGGAAUUUAUCAGAUGCUGCAGCUGAGAAGAGGCGAAAGCAAUGGCGGGAAAAUCAAAGUAAACACAGGGCUGAAGCUAAACGUAUAAGGGCAGUUCUGGAUCUUAUUAUACAGUAUUACCACCUGUUCAGUUAAUUUUUACGAAUAUGAUAUGUAUUGUGGAAUAAAAUGAUUAUUAAUUUCAGCAACUACUUCUGUGAUUUGUUUAGGAAUAAAAUGAUACAGAAUAAUAUUCAAAACAUUGCAAUAAUGGAAACAAUGACACUUUUGUCAAAAUGUCAUUCAGUGUAACAAACCAUGGUCAUUCGGUGUAACAGAUAUAUUUAUGUAGAAAUUAAACAAUAUACUUAUUCUGAGCUGUACUUAUUAAAAUAUGUAAAAUAAUGUGUGAUCCUACAAAAAUUUUAUUUGAUUUGAAUUGAUUUUCACUUCCUUACAAAAACUUCUUGCUGACAAAUGGGUAAAACCUAAUGGUUUAAAGGAUAUUGACGAUGUAAAAUGCUUUAAUAUGACAAAUAGUUAGUAUUUGGUGUCUGCACUGUGAUCUAUAAAUAGAGUCUUGUAAUGUGUCAUCAAAUAAUAGUUUUUCUAAAAAUGUCUGAUUAUAUUUUUUUGCAUAAAAAUAUUGUUACACUGAAUGACAUUUUAGUUGGUGUCUUCUGUACAAUCCCAGUAAAAAUGUAUGGUAGUAAUUAUUUUUUGCUCAGAAAAACAUAAAGUUAAACAGGACAUAUUCUAAUGUAUGUGAAAAAGACUAAAUUUAAAGCUCUUUUACACUUUUAUUUUUUUUAUGCUUUAAACCCCCUUUUCGUCUUUGACCC